rfam:Dichomitus squalens LYAD-421 SS1 unplaced genomic scaffold DICSQscaffold_4, whole genome shotgun sequence.
GGUGAGAUGGCCGAGCGGUCUAAGGCGCCAGACUAAGGCUUCAGCAUGCUGACAAAUCUGGUCCGAAAGGGCGUGGGUUCGAAUCCCACUCUCAUCA